AUUAAAGACAAAUCACAAGAAAUUACAAAGCAUAUAUGAACCCGAUUGAUGACAAAGUGGUCAAUUAUUUUGCAAUAAUAUGCUCCAACUGUAAGUGGCGAGUGUAAGUUCACCUAUUUGGAAGCAGUACCAACCUCAAAGUAAUUUCGAAAAUAGGCAAUCAGUUUUUCUCUAGGAGGUAGAUUUUCCUUGAUGGCACUAACACUCACAAACUCAUUAGCCCAAUUGCAAAGUUUGGGAAAUUUCUCCCUUGUCAUCAACUCUACCCCCGAA